CAACCCCAAAACCAACCGCCAUAACCAACCCCAAAACAACUCCAAACCCCCCCCCCCCAAACAACUCCAAAACAACCCCCAAACCAACCCCAAAACAACCCGAAAACACAACUCCAAAACAACCCCAAAACAACUCCAAAACAACCCCCCAAACAAAUCCAAAACAACCCCCAAACCAACCCCAAAACAACCCGAAAAAACAACUCCAAAACAACCCCAAAACCCGAAAACAACUCCAAAACAACCCCCAAAACAACCCCCAAAACAACCAGAAAACAACUCCAAAACAACCCCAGGAGAAAAUUGGGAAGCCCCUCUCAAACAAGGAUGAGAGUUGAUAAGAGUCACGCAUUGUUACGGGGACAUUUCAAUUGAAGCUCUAGAUUAACAAAAACUGCCAACUCUGACGCCCUCUCAUUCUCGUUUGAUGUAUAGACAUUUCAGAUCCGACUAUGAGGACUACAUUUCAAGUCCGAUUAAAAGCCCGAGACGAAGCCGAGGACUGGAUCAAAAUGCAAGUACUUGAAAUCUAGUCUAGUCCGAAGAUUUGAAAUGACAUCUCAUACGAAUAAAUCACUACUUUAAGUGAGGUGAAUGAAUUUUGAUCCAGUCCAAGGACUGAAUUUAUUUUGAUAUCCAGUCCUAAGACUGAAUCAAUAUACUUCACCCGGUAUCCAGUAUUAUCAUGUGAGCAAAAUAAGCAAUAUUGUUGGAUAAUUUACUCAUG